rnacentral:lncRNA from 12 species
CCAGGGGCUGCUGCUGGGUUUGUGCAUGGGGAGGGGCUGGGGCAGCAGGGACAGCGCUGUGCCCAGGGCCAGGGGCAGCAGUGGCACUGCUCUGUGUCCCUGUGUCCCUGUGCUCCCUGCCCAGAGCCAGGGGCAGCACAAGGCUGGAACCUCACAGUCAUUGCUUUGGCUUGGAGGAGGCUCAGGCAAGGCUGUCCUCCCUGCUGGGCUGCUUGAUCCAGGCUGUUGUGCCAGGCAGGAGAGCUGCUGCCAUUCCUCCCUCCCUCCAUCCAUCCAUCCAUCCAUCCAUCCAUCCAUCAUCCAUCCAUCAUCCAUCAUCCAUCCAUCCAUCCAUCCAUCCAUCCAUCCAUCCAUCCAUCCAUCCAUCCAUCACCCAUCCAUCUGAGUGUUGGGGCAGGAGGAGCCCCGAGCAGCCACAGCUCUGGGUUGCAGAGCAGGACAUGUGCACCCCCAUUGCUUCUGGAAAUGGCUGCAGUAAUUAGAGCUGUCAGUUUACAUAGAACUAGUUCCUGAACCACCAGA